rnacentral:rRNA from 1 species
UGAGGAAUAUUGGUCAAUGGGCGAGAGCCUGAACCAGCCAAGUCGCGUGAGGGAAGAAUGGUCUAUGGCCUGUAAACCUCUUUUGCCAGGGAAGAAUAAAAGGUACGUGUACCUUCUUGCCAGUACCUGACGAAUAAGCAUCGGCUAACUCCGUGCCAGCAGCCGCGGUAAUACGGGGGAUGCGAGCGUUAUCCGGAUUUAUUGGGUUUAAAGGGCGCGUAGGCGGGACGUCAAGUCAGCGGUAAAAGACUGCAGCUAAACUGUAGCACGCCGUUGAAACUGGCGCCCUCGAGACGAGACGAGGGAGGCGGAACAAGUGAAGUAGCGGUGAAAUGCAUAGAUAUCACUUGGAACCCCGAUAGCGAAGGCAGCUUCCCAGGCUCGUUCUGACGCUGAUGCGCGAGAGCGUGGGUAGCGAACA